UCCCAGGACCAGACCUCCCAGUCUGAAAGCAGCUGUGUCCAGAGAGCCACAGCUCUAUCUUCAAGGUGAAGAAUAGAAGAUGGAGGCAGGUGUGCUUAAAGGGUGAGCCUUAUUAGAGUUUUUUAAAGAACAGUCUCCCAUAUGAAAGAGGAGACACAGGUAAUGGGGGAGUGGCCCUCAGAAGUUCAGGACUCUCCAGCUACCGGAGCUACCCGCGGCAGCGCCAAGGAACACCAACUUAGAGCUGCCUGCGACGCAUUGGAGAGAGGUGUCGGUGGGAACUACAUUCGGCGCACUUGGAGCCAGUGCCACCCCAGGAGCGGAGGAGCACGGGUAUCUCGUCUCCAAACACAUCAAGAUCAAAAAGAACCACCUGUCUUACAGUUCCAUAAAUCCUUCCCACCUGUGAACAUUUCUACCAGAACUUACUGCACAUACAUGCACAAAAAAUCACAUAAUUUUUUUGUUUUGGCAGACUGCUCAUAAAACUGUGCUACCUCUUCAGUCUUAGGUUAUUGUACUGUUUUUUGCUGUUUUUAUGACCUCAGGUUCCAUUUAAUUAUAUGCUUUUGCUCUGGACUUUUAGGACUAGCUCACUACUUGACUUUUUGAACUUGUUAUAUGUUUUCACACCGCUCUAUAACCCUGUGGUUGUUCCAUUGUGGACAGAAUUUCUAGGUGCUGUCAUGAAGAGGUGGAUGAAGGACCCAAACGCAGGAGACCAAGCUUGGUAACAGGAACUGAAACCAUUAAAUAAAUGGACCAAAACAUGACAAAAACCCAAAGGAGAAACCAAAUGGGACAGAGCAGAGCAGAUGACCUGAGUAACUGAAAACCAGACACGUUAAUAGGCUGGGGGCAAUUAAAUAAACUUAAGUCAGCCGCGAAUCAUGACACACUGAAACUAUUGUGUCUAACAAGGGCAACUUAGAACAUAACUGUAGAGGCUUGGAAAUUAGUUAAAUUGGAAAAUACUUUAAAAGUAAAAACAGAAACCCCUUACAUUUUUUAUUGUUUUAAUUUACUUACUUUCAUUGUUAUUUACAAAGUUGCGUUUCCAACUCUUUUGAGUUACUGUAAUUCCCAAACUGCCCUCUAGGUGGCAGCGCAGCGCGCAGUGGAACAGAGGCGCACAGUCAAUGGGCGCACCAGAGGAAGAAAAACUCCUCUUGAUGAAAUGCUACAAGCAUUUAAACUCGUGUGCUGCCUCUCUGUUCCAACUAACAGGUUUUAGUGGUGGUCCAGGGUCCAGAGGGGGUCUGGUUUGGGGGCCACAGGAUUUCCUCUCUGCUCCUUGAAGAUGAUUGUCUGGUUGACUUUAUCAAGCCAGGACCUCCAGCAUGCAUUGGAGCAGUGGAAGAGGCUGGGAUGAUGCCAUGGUUCUGGACAGGAGAACAGUGGUUCACCCUCCCUGGGUGGGCGGAGUGCUCCUGCCCAGGUGGAGAAGUUUAGGUGUCAUAGAGUCUUGUUCACGAGAACUUUGGUGCGGCUGAGGCAUGCUGCGAGGCGGUUACUGAGGACACUACAGCUACGAGCACCUUUUUAAGUGAAGCUGACACUGAGGAAGAGCAGCUGUGAAUGAGACUGUGGGAAAGAGUGAAUCAGUGAGUGCAGGUCCUGCUCUCACUGACGGCCCCCCCCUGCUGUGCACCUCUGGCUUUUAGACCCCCUUCUCUGAAACAAGCGGCUACACUAGAGAAAGAGCCGAGUUCUCAUUAGCUGGAAGGUGUUCUCCUGUACUGUAACUUUCUUUUCUCUGUACUACCCUUCAUCUACGUUUUACUGCUUGAUUAAAACAGGUUGUGUUGUGUGAUGGGAAACCAAGGAGCCAUGAUGUGAGAAAUACCAGAACAUCAGCUAUGUACAUUUCUUUAUUGUCUUGUUUGUAUGACAUGUUAGUGUAUGUAGGUAUGUUUGUAUGACAAGUUUGCUAUUUACUAUUAUGUUUACUAUUUAUACUACAUAUUACUAUUAUUUUUUGCAAACUCUAAAAAUGCUAUUUGUUUGUGAGUUAGUAAUUAAGUCCCGGUUAACAUGUACCUUAGAACUUCUCGUAACCAUUGUGCUAUCCUUGACAUGUUCACAUUAAAAGUGGGGUCAUCUGGACCCCACUAAACAGCA